CACAACAGGCUAUUUGCGGCCAUUGCCAGCUGCAUUGCUACGGACCCGUGCCCGUUGCGCUUGGCCAAAGACCUUGCAGAAUGUUGAGCAUGUGUCAAUAGGACGGUACCAUAACAGAAGUGUUAGAACUGGAUGGACCGAAAAAAAUGCAUCUGACAGUUAGGCAAGAGAGCCUAGAGCUUAACAGUAAGCAUACAGGAUACAACACCUGGAAUCCCAACCCUCCCUUCCAUCUCACCUCCCUGAGUGAAGACAAUUCCCCCUCCCUGUCGCCACCCUCCUAAAUCAAAACUUCGACUCCGGCCCACCUAUCCGAGGCCUGUUGCACCUGCAGCACGUGUAUGGGAGCAUGACAAUUAGGGCAGACACAGCAAUGACGGCGGCGAAAC
rnacentral:lncRNA from 1 species